CGGGGGGAGCAAGCGUUGUUCGGGUUUACUGGGCGUAAAGGGCGCGUAGGCGGCCACCGCAAGUCGACUGUGAAAUCUCCGGGCUUAACCCGGAAAGGUCAGCCGAUACUGCGGGGCUAGAGUGCAGAAGGGGCAACUGGAAUUCUCGGUGUAGCGGUGAAAUGCGUAGAUAUCGAGAGGAACACCUGCGGCGAAGGCGGGUUGCUGGGCUGACACUGACGCUGAGGCGCGAAAGCUAGGGGAGCGAACGGGAUUAGAUACCCCGGUAAUCCUAGCCUUAAACGAUGAAUGCUUGGUGUCUGGGGUUUUAUAGUCCCCGGGUGCCGUCGCUAACGCUUUAAGCAUUCCGCCUGGGGAGUACGGUCGCAAGACUG
rnacentral:rRNA from 1 species